UACGGAGGGUGCAAACGUUGCUCGGAAUCAUUGGGCGUAAAGCGCACGUAGGCGGUCUGUUAAGUCGGAUGUGAAAUCCCUCAGCUUAACUGCGGAAGUGCAUUCGAAACUGGCAGUCUUGAGUAUGGAAGAGGGUCGCGGAAUUCCUGGUGUAGAGGUGAAAUUCGUAGAUAUCAGGAGGAACACCGGUGGCGAAGGCGGCUCUCUGGCCCGAUACUGACGCUCAUGUACGAAGGCGUGGGGAGCAAGCAGG
rnacentral:rRNA from 1 species